rnacentral:rRNA from 1 species
GAUGAACGCUGGCGGCGUGCCUAAUACAUGCAAGUCGAACGAAGAUCUAGCUUGCUAGAUCUUAGUGGCGAACGGGUGAGUAAUACAUAAAUAAUCUGCCCAUAUGACUGGGAUAACUAUUGGAAACGAUAGCUAAUACCGGAUAGGUUGAUUGGAGGCAUCUCUGAUUAAUUAAAGUAGGAUUUCUACACAAAUGGAUGAGUUUAUGGCGCAUUAGUUAGUUGGUGGGGUAACGGCCUACCAAGACGAUGAUGCGUAGCCGACCUGAGAGGGUGACCGGCCACACGGGGACUGCGACACGGCCCAGACUCCUACGGGAGGCAGCAGUAGGGAAUUUUCGGCAAUGGGCGCAAGCCUGACCGAGCAACGCCGCGUGAGUGAUUAAGGCCUUCGGGUUGUAAAGCUCUGUUGUAAGGGAAGAACAUUCAGGAUAGGAAAUGAUCUUGAACUGACGGUACCUUACCAGAAAGCCACGGCUAACUACGUGCCAGCCGCCGCAGUAA